AUCGCGAUAGUUCAAUUAGUAGAGCAUCUGCCCGGUUAGUGGAGCGUCGCCGGUUGGAUUCCGGCUCGCGGCG
rnacentral:tRNA from 1 species